GGUGAACCAGCGGAGGGAUCAUUACCGAGUUU
rnacentral:rRNA from 1 species